rnacentral:rRNA from 1 species
GCUCAACCGAAGAAGUGCAUCGGAAACUGGGAAACUUGAGUGCAGAAGAGGACAGUGGAACUCCAUGUGUAGCGGUGAAAUGCGUAGAUAUAUGGAAGAACACCAGUGGCGAAGGCGGCUGUCUGGUCUGUAACUGACGCUGAGGCUCGAAAGUAUGGGUAGCAAACAGGAUUAGAUACCCUGGUAGUCCAUACCGUAAACGAUGAAUGCUAAGUGUUGGAGGGUUUCCGCCCUUCAGUGCUGCAGCUAACGCAUUAAGCAUUCCGCCUGGGGAGUACGGCCGCAAGGCUGAAACUCAAAGGAAUUGACGGGGGCCCGCACAAGCGGUGGAGCAUGUGGUUUAAUUCGAAGCUACGCGAAGAACCUUACCAGGUCUUGACAUACUAUGCAAAUCUAAGAGAUUAGACGUUCCCUUCGGGGACAUGGAUACAGGUGGUGCAUGGUUGUCGUCAGCUCGUGUCGUGAGAUGUUGGGUUAAGUCCCGCAACGAGCGCAACCCUUAUUAACAGUUGCCAGCAUUAAGUUGGGCACUCUGGUGAGACUGCCGGUGACAAACCGGAGGAAGGUGGGGAUGACGUCAAAUCAUCAUGCCCCUUAUGACCUGGGCUACACACGUGCUACAAUGGAUGGUACAACG